rnacentral:rRNA from 1 species
CCUACGGGUGGCAGCAGUGGGGAAUAUUGGGCAAUGGCCGCAAGCCUGAACCAGCAACGCCGCGUGAAGGAAGAAGGCUUUCGGGUUGUAAACUUCUUUUCUCAGGGACGAAGCAAGUGACGGUACCUGAGGACUAAGCCACGGCUAACUACGGGCCAGCAGCCGCGGGAAUACGUCGGGGGCAAGCGUUAUCAGGAUUUAUUGGGUGUAAAGGGCGUGUAGGCGGGAGGGCAAGUCAGAUGUGAAAACUACGGGCACAACCCUGGGCCUGCAUUUGAAACUGUGUUUCUUGAGUGCUGGAGAGGCAGUCGGAAUGCCGGGUGUAGCGGUGAAAUGCGUAGAUAUACGGAGGAACACCAGUGGCGAAGGCGGAUUGCUGGACAGUAACUGACGCUGAGGCGCGAAAGCGUGGGGAGCAAACAGGAUUAGAUACCCCAGUAGUG